rnacentral:rRNA from 1 species
UACGGAGGGGGCUAGCGUUGUUCGGAAUUACUGGGCGUAAAGCGCACGUAGGCGGCUUUGUAAGUUAGAGGUGAAAGCACUGGGCUCAACCCAGGAAGUGCAUUCAAAAACUGUCUCGGCUUGAAUCUCGGAGGGGGUCAGAGAAUUCCCGGUGUAGAGGUGAAAUUCGUAGAUAUCGGGAGGAAUACCAGUGGCGAAGGCGCUGACCUGGA